UUGUUUGGGUCUUCCACAUAUCUCUUACUCAAGUUUAUAUGAUGAGUAAUUUUGUACUGGAUCCUGGACAUUUUGAGUAAUAUGAGAAUCUUAUUCCUAUUUAAAUCUUCUAUUUUAUAAGGCCAACUGUUUAGGUUCAGCGGGGUUCAGGCCCACUUUUGUGGUUCAGUGUCAAUUUUCAAAGCCUCUGCGUUGCUAUUCUGGUUCACCUCCACUUGGAUGCUACCCAGAAACCAAUCUGAAACCUCAGCAGUAGUCCACCCAUAGUUCACUUUGCCAUGUUGAUUAUGGUCAGUUUCAUGCAUGGUCUGCUUGAGGGUCUGCCCAAGACUUCAUUAAUAGAUUUAAAGGAACCCUUUCUCCAGCUUCUUUCUCUCUGUAAUCCUCCCUCAACCUCUAGUUGGGAUGGUUAAGAUGCUGCCUCUUUGCAGCUGGUCACUCAGUACAGGGCAGGGAUGGUCCACAGGGCUCCUCCCCACAGUCUUGGCCACAUCUAGUGAGUAUGGGGAUGGGUGUUCACUUGGAAUGGGGCAGGUAUAAUCAAAUGGAUUUUUUCAUACAGGUCACCCUUUUCCCAUCCUUUGGCUUAUGAGAGCAGGCUUUUUGUUUUCUUCAUCUGUACCCAUUGAUGUUUUCAGGUUUUAGGUUUUUCUUGCACCCAAACCAGGAAAGUAAAAAGGUGGCAAAAGAAAAACCCCAGGAAACUUCCAGGUCAUUCCUCAAGUUCCAAAGUGCCUACCCAGGCUAUCACCUUUUUUCCACCUUUCAGAGCCUUUUGAUAGUUGCUUUAUAUAUUUUGUCCAGGGUUUUUGGUUAUAUUUAGUAGCAGGAAUGAGGUGAAAUGUAUUUACUCCAUCUUGUGUGGUACUCAGAGUCCUCCAAGUAGCCUUUCAAAAAUGGAUAAAAUACUAUAAACAAAGCAGACAUACUUUCAUCAGUCACCCUGCCCAUUCCCCUCCCCCUCCCAAGAAAUUAUGAGUUCAGUGUUGCCUUUUCUGUUUAUACUUAGGUAUUCAUAAACAAAAUAUAGUAUUUCAAAUGUUAAAAUCUGCGAAUUUUAUUUCAUUGGACUUUAUGCUUUAAGAUAGUCUUCUCUUUUAAUAGGUAAACUUAGUCUCUUUAUGUGUGUUUUACUGGAAUGUUUAUUCCUAUCAUUGCAGUUUGUUUAUUGUUACGGAGGAGGCAGGAGUAAUUCUUACUUUUCCUCCAUAUUCUCAUAAUUGAAGAGGAUUUGAUCCUCGCCGCCCCACCCCUGCCACACACACACACUGGACUGAAAGGAGCGAGCCUAGCAGGCCAGACAGGCAGAAGCACAGGUGGCAUCGGCUCUAGGACAGUCUGCUCCGGUCAUAGAGGGAUUUUCCUCUCAAAAUGAAUGGGUAUGUGAUGCCCGGGUAUGCAGUAGCCAUCUUAGGACCGUGAGGAUGAAGACUGUAUGCAAAGGAGGCAGAACAGGAAAACUGAAGACUACCCCUCGGCUUCUUAUCUCUGGACUUACUGUUAAAUGAGAAAAAAUGAGCUGCUGUUUAAUUAAAAUGCUGUGGUGGUUUUUCAGUUAUAAGCAGCCAAACACAAUUCUAGCAGAAAGGGCUAAAGUGGCAUUCACUGCUGACUGAGACAUACAAACUGUUUCUUUAGCCAAAGACACAACUAAUAAUGUAACGGUUCUACUGGGUUGGGUAUUCUCAUUACCCUUCAAACUCCUCUGAAACUAGGGUACAUGGGAGUUAACAUUGGAAAGUGGACCAAGAAGGCAUUCUUCAAAUUGCAAUGCUUUUAUUAGAAUAUUAUUAAUUGCAGAUUUUUAAAAAACUACACACAUGGAAAAAGGAGAACACUCAGAAAUACUAUUACAGAUUAGGCAAAUUAGUAGGAGGAAAAAGAUUUCUUCAGUGUAUACAAAAUGUAAACAUUUGCCCUGGGAUUUCCCACAGAUGGCACAGUCCACAAGGACUUAUUUGGAAUAAAAAUAUGUCUAUCGGA